GGGGGCGACCUGGUUUCGACGUGGGUUGCGAAGCAGCGCAGUGCAUACCGAGGACCAGUUCCCUCGUAAAUCUACUGGAAACGCUUUAACUGCGAACGACGAACGUUUCGCUCUAGCCGCUUAAUACCGGCUAGCUCUGCACCGGCUUGUUCAUGGGCCGGGUAGCGCAAGCUACGGCAGAGUCCUUCACAUGAUCUAGCGCUCUGCAGGGUCACUUUGCAGUCCGCGAAUCCCAAGGUGACUCGCCGUUUGCCAGCCUGCCGGUUGGCGUGCAAGCGGUCAAAUCAAAUAAUCUGGCUAAGUAUGUAGAUCUGGCUGUAGAGAGCUUGCGGACGCGGGUUCGAUUCCCGCCGCCUCCACCA
rnacentral:tmRNA from 1 species